UGUCUCGGUUGGUAGAGCAUGGUGUUUGCAACGCCAGGGUUGUGGGUUCGAUUCCCAC
rfam:Salmo salar isolate Sally breed double haploid chromosome ssa08, whole genome shotgun sequence.